GGGUUGUUGCUGGUUCUCUAGGGAGCAUGUGCACGCCUUGUCAUCUUUAUAUCUCCACCUGUGCACUUUUUGUAGACCCUUCAAGGUCUAUGUCGCUUCAUUUACCCCAAACAAAUAAUAGAAUGUUGUGCCUUUGAAAAAUCUAUACAACUUUCAGCAACGGAUCUCUUGGCUCUCGCAUCGAUGAAGAACGCAGCGAAAUGCGAUAAGUAAUGUGAAUUGCAGAAUUCAGUGAAUCAUCGAAUCUUUGAACGCACCUUGCGCUCCUUGGUAUUCCGAGGAGCAUGCCUGUUUGAGUGUCAUUAAUAUAUCAACCCUCUUCUCUUGUUGAGUGGUUUGGAUGUGGGGGUUUGCUUUGCUGGCCCUCUUCUUGAGAGGUUCAGCUCCCCUGAAAUGCAUUAGCAGAACGACCUGUUCAUUGGUGUGAUAAACUAUCUACGCUAUUGAACGUGAGGCAGUUCAGCUUCCUAACAGUCCUCUGGACAAGUUUAUCAUUUUAUGUGACCUCAAAUCAGGUAGGACUACCCGCUGAACUUAAGCAUAUC
rnacentral:rRNA from 1 species